AUUGAACGCUGGCGGCAGGCCUAACACAUGCAAGUCGAGCGGAUGAAGGGAGCUUGCUCCUGGCUUCAGCGGCGGACGGGUGAGUAAUGCCUAGGAAUCUGCCUGGUAGUGGGGGAUAACGUCCGGAAACGGGCGCUAAUACCGCAUACGUCCUGAGGGAGAAAGUGGGGGAUCUUCGGACCUCACGCUAUCAGAUGAGCCUAGGUCGGAUUAGCUAGUUGGUGGGGUAAAGGGCUACCAAGGCGACGAUCCGUAACUGGUCUGAGAGGAUGAUCAGUCACACGGGAACUGAGACACGGUCCAGACUCCUACGGGAGGCAGCAGUGGGGAAUAUUGGACGAUGGGCGAAAGCCUGAUCCAGCCAUGCCGCGUGUGUGAAGAAGGUCUUCGGAUUGUAAAGCACUUUAAGUUGGGAGGAAGGGCAGUAAGUUAAUACCUUGCUGUUUUGACGUUACCAACAGAAUAAGCACCGGCUAACUUCGUG
rnacentral:rRNA from 1 species